rnacentral:rRNA from 1 species
UACGUAGGUGGCGAGCGUUGUCCGGAUUAUUGGGCGUAAGCGCGCGCAGGCGGUGCGGUAAGUCUGCGGUGAAAUCCUCCCGGCUCAACUGGGAGGGUGCGGUGGAGACUGCCGGACUGGAGGCACUCAGAGGCCGGUGGAAUUCCCGGUGUAGUGGUGAAAUGCGUAGAGAUCGGGAGGACACCAGUGGCGAAGGCGGCUGGCUGGGGGUGACCUGACGCUGAGGCGCGAAGCGUGGGAGC